rnacentral:rRNA from 1 species
GGAGCUUGCUCCCUUAGGUCAGCGGCGGACGGGUGAGUAACACGUGGGUAACCUGCCUGUAAGACUGGGAUAACUCCGGGAAACCGGGGCUAAUACCGGAUGCUUGAUUGAACCGCAUGGUUCAAUCAUAAAAGGUGGCUUUUAGCUACCACUUGCAGAUGGACCCGCGGCGCAUUAGCUAGUUGGUGAGGUAACGGCUCACCAAGGCGACGAUGCGUAGCCGACCUGAGAGGGUGAUCGGCCACACUGGGACUGAGACACGGCCCAGACUCCUACGGGAGGCAGCAGUAGGGAAUCUUCCGCAAUGGACGAAAGUCUGACGGAGCAACGCCGCGUGAGUGAUGAAGGUUUUCGGAUCGUAAAACUCUGUUGUUAGGGAAGAACAAGUACCGUUCGAAUAGGGCGGUACCUUGACGGUACCUAACCAGAAAGCCACGGCUAACUACGUGCCAGCAGCCGCGGUAAUACGUAGGUGGCAAGCGUUGUCCGGAAUUAUUGGGCGUAAAGCGCGCGCAGGCGGUUUCUUAAGUCUGAUGUGAAAGCCCCCGGCUCAACCGGGGAGGGUCAUUGGAAACUGGGGAACUUGAGUGCAGAAGAGGAGAGUGGAAUUCCACGUGUAGCGGUGAAAUGCGUAGAGAUGUGGAGGAACACCAGUGGCGAAGGCGACUCUCUGGUCUGUAACUGACGCUGAGG